CUACCCUGAAAAAAAGAGCAUCAUUGGUGUCUCAUGGAGGAGGAAACAGGCUGACAGGAAUAUCCCAAACAUUACAUUCAUAGUGCUGGGAAACACCAGCCUUGGACCAUACUUAACUGCUUCUUUAGUCUUCUUUAGUUCAAGCAGCAGAUAUUGAUUAGCACCCACUAUGUGUCGUGUUUUCGAGUAAUGUCUUACAGGUGAAAGUCCAUGCCACUAUGAGACAGAAUCAACCUAAGUCAAUUGUGUGACCCACUAGACAUAAAGGUCCCAUGGGAUAGAAACAAGGUAGCACACAAGAGUGGAGAGUGGCUUAGAGUCUAAAUAGGGCAAUUAGAACAAGAGUCAAUGAUAAAGUCCCCUUUGAGGAAAGAAGGAAAGAAUUUUAAGAGGUCUAAACUAUCCUGUGGACACAAUGACCUCUUAAAUAAAUGAAUAAAAAAAACCUACUGCAGAUUAAUUACCUACUAUACUUCAGGAGUUAUGGUGAGUACUUUCUCAAUAGUUUGACCUGGCAUUAUUUUAGUAGCUUUAGAACAAUACCAUCCAUUUUUCAGAUGAGGAAGGUGGGUCUCAACAAGGAUAACAGACUGUUUAAGAUUACAGUUACUAAGUAUAUCUGGGUUGUAUACUCAGAUCCAACUCAGCUCUGUUCUUCAGACCUCCUCCAUUUUGUCCUUCCUUCCAGCAAGCUUCCUUUCCCCUCAUCCAGCUGCCCUUUUACCAUGCUGGCCUUCUGCCUUCUACCACACUGCCCUUCCUCAGUCAUCCUUCUUUCCUGGAUUGAUGUGGGGCCAUAAAGUAAGGGAAAACUGUGGGGCAGUCAUCACUGACUCAAGUAAGAGUCACCUUAUCACUCCCCAAGAGACCAAAGAACCCGAUGCUGGUUAUUGCUGCUUCUGGAUGCUUGCUUCUCUCCGUUCUUGAUCAUCCUCUCUUCCACAUGGUGCUUGAUAAUGGUUGCUUAUUGAGCAGAGCAGACAACAGAUCUGUGUAUUUGGGCUUAUAGUUUCAGAUGUUACAGUUUACAUUCAGCUGGCUCCAUUGUUUGUGGGCUAUGAUGAGAUGGAAGGUCACAAUGGAAGAACAUAUGAGGAGGGCACAGCUGUUCACUUCCUGGGUGCCCAAAGCAUCCAUCAACAAGACAUAGCCACCAAGAACACACUCCAGUGACUUGCUUCCUCCAAGCUGGCCCCACCUUCUAAGUUUCCAGCAUUCCUGAUGAUAUCCUAUUACAAAUCCAUAAAUGGAUACACCCACUGAUGAAUGUGGAGUCUCUGUGGCUCAAUCAACUUUCAGUGGCAUCAGAAGCUAGAGGGAGAGUUUUACAAAUAAGCCUUUUGGACAGUGGGAAGGAAGGGUGUCACCUGAAAUCUAAAGUGGAACAUUUCCUAAAAGUUCAUUGUUCUCCAUUCCCCAAGAGGAAUUCCUUCCUGAUAAUGAACAGUGGAAUAAGAUAAUCCAGCAUUGAAGAUAGGAAGUUUGUCACCCUUUUAAGUACCCAAGAACUGAUUAUUCCCAAAUUUGACGGAGUAUUGCUUUUGAUUUGGCAAGCAUGGUUUUCAUCAAUGGGCUCCCCUAAGUCUGACCUCAUCUACUUUGCUGCAAUUCUUUUUUCCCUUGGGUUCUCAGAGCAACAUGGUCUAGGAGAACUUUGCUUGCCAAAUGUAAGUAUACUCUUUCAGCAAGGAUGUUCUAUCUCCCGAUAGCCUCGUGAGGACAUUAAUGGACACAUGCCAAAGAACAUGCAUUAUGAUUCCUGCAAGCUUGAACAUGGUCACUAGAUAGCAAUCUUAAGUUAGACCAGCACAGAUGGGAAAUGACUGACUUGAGAGAGCUUGGAGAGCUUAGGGACACACACUGGAGAUGAUAGGAAAGGAAAUAUUGUAGAGAAAAAUCUGUAUAUCCCCUCUUUCUGGGUACCACAGAGUUCUACAGCCUUGUUUGCCUUUCAACUCCAGCAAGUCCAAGGCAGAGUACUCCUUUCCAUGCUCUGGACACAUGUUCAUUUAUGUAAUUAAGAGCAGUGAGGAGGAAUGUGUCUAAGCAUUCUACACACUGGAAGCACUGCUGCUGGGCACUAACUUGCUUAUCUUAUUCCAGUCUUUGGAGUACAAAGGAAGACACAGAGGCCACAUGUCCAAAGCCAGAGUUUGUGUGUGGUGGGAGCAUGGCGUGUGACUCAUGUCCAGGUGAGUUUGUGUGUGAUGGGAGCAUGGCGUGUGACUCAUGUCCAGGUGAGUUUGUGUGUGAUGGGAGCAUGGCGUGUGACUCAUGUCCAGGGACAAGAAGCUACGGCAAUUACUUCUGCAGACUCUCAAAGGAAUUCACGUUCCGAGAGGCGAUAAAUACCAGAAGCCGAUGGCUAAUCCACUUGAUUGAAUGAGAAGAAAAGGAAGUCGUUUCCUGUCAAUGCUUCUUUGGAUUCUUGCACAGUUUAAGAAGCACCAUUGAUCUGAUCAUCAGCACUGAAGAGGAAAUGCCCAUUCACUGAAGACACGCAAUGCUCAUCCCAGUUUGACAUGGGCAGCAAGUGGUUCCUUUUGUAGCCCUUUCUGUAAACUGUCCCCUCACAUACAUGUAAACCCCUGCUUCCUUCUUUAAGUAGCUACAUUGGUGGUGCCUCUGUUGUAAGGUUAAAGGGAAGAAUAACUAGAGAGUGGUGGGGAAAGCACUGGGGAAGCUGAUUUGUUUCUGCCUUUGUGGUGAUCUCUCAAAAUAUUUUUGAGAUAUUUUUGUUGAAAAGAUGCAAGCAAUUAUUUUUUUUUAGGAUUGAGGACUUAAAAUUCAUUGUUACUCGGGCUCAUUGGCACAUCAAUCUAAGCAGUUCGAGGUAAUGCUGUUGUGAUUGAGAAACACCACCACUGUAAAGCUUUAGCAGGGAGUCAAGCAGGUUAUGACGACACAGGGCUCAUUACUAAAUGUGAAGUUUUAAGGGAUAAAACUUUACAAUGAAACAAGAAAAAUCUCAAGAAAAAGAUUGGGCUCUAGUAAAAAUAAGCCAUGUCUUAAAAGUGGUUUUCCAUAUUCAACAUUAUUACCCUUCACAUUAAUGCUCAAGCUGGUUCAUAGUCCUCAGAAGUAAGAAUGGACAUUUAUACUUUGUGUAAUAGUAAUAUGUUGCACACACAAGUAAACACUUUUGGUGAUCAACAAAGCUUAUUUUUCUCUUUCAAUUUUAAAAAAGAUUAUUUGUAUUCUGUGUGCAUUGGUAUUUUCCUGAAUGUGUGUGUGUGUGAAGGUGCCAGAUCCCCUGGGACAGGAGCUAUGGACAGUUGAGAGUUGUCACUGGGGGCUGGGAGUUGAAACUGGUUCCUCCGGAAGAGCAGCCAAGUAUUCUUAACCACAGAGCCAUCUCUCUAGCCCCAAUUUUCUCUUUCUUAAUAGCACCAUGUAUGUUUACUUAAAAACUAAAGAUGUUUUUUAAACAAGUAAAGAUGCCAUGGAUUAUAGCAGGGAGGGUUCAUGGUUUCCCUUUCCCUCUAGUCUCCCUCUGCCUUUGUAAUUGCUUCUGAAAAGUCAUGAUGCUUCUUACUUUCUAUAUCAUAAACACCAAACUCAGAGGAUAAAGGGGCCCGGGGAUGUUUAGUUAGCAAAGUACUUGCAGUGUAAGCAUGAGGCCCUGAAUUCAAUUCCCAGGACGUCCCUAAAAAUGUCAGGAAUGAUGGUAGCCUGCACUUGGAAUCCCAAUGCUGAAGCGGGAGAGACAGCUGGAUCCUGUGGCUUGCUGACCCUCCAGUCUAAUGUAUUAGGUGAUCCACUGGUCCAAGUAAGAGGCAUGUCUCAAAUCUAGGUUUCUGAAGACUGAUACCUGUGGUUGACCUCUGGCUUCCACAUAAGUACAGGUACCUAUACAUACAUGUGUACUCACAUAAACAUGCAUAUGCAUGAGCAUAUACUCAACCAGUGCACUUCAAUAGUCCUAUUUAGUUCACUUAAUGCUCUACAGAGAGCAUUGUUGCUAGUGACUCAGUCCUUUUCAGGAACGCCAAGCUACUGAGUGUUCUCUGCAUCAAAUCAGCAGAACAGCAGGGCAUAUGCAUCUAUAAUCUCUUUCUUCCAUUAACAAAAAAAGAAAAGAAAAGUAGCCAACAACCCUCAGAGUCACCUUCAACUGAGCAUCAGAAUUCUUACUGUGCCCAACUGCUAAGAAUUGAAAAUGGAAGUGUGUGUGUGUGUGUGUCUAUGUGUGUGUGUCUAUGUGUGUGUGUCUGUGUGUGUGUGUGCGUGUGUGUGUCACAAUGUAUAGCUAACCUUCCCAAUGGAAAGGAAAGGAACCGAUAAAUCUUACACUGUCCCAUGUUCCAUUCACUCUUCAUUUGUAAAUUGUAUGAGACAUUCUGCGCUAAUCCAUGGCAGGCUUUCCAAGCUGCCUAAUCUUUUUUUCUUAUCACUGUUUAUGUUCCAAGAAGAUCUGGCUCUGUUUGUAUUUAUUGUGAUAAUGAUUUACUAUUCUAAACAAUUACUUUUUACCACUACUAGAAACAAUUCUGUAUAUAAGAGCCUUUUUAUUCCCUCCUCCUCUUCUUCCUCCUCCUUAAAUAAAGGAAUUCGCCUCAACUGUGGUAGACUAGCCCUGGUUUCAGAUUCUUAUUGCAGAUAAUGCCAGCGAGGAAGCAUGGAAACCAUUAUGAAGGAUCUAAACCAUAAACUCAGCUUAUCUCUAUUGAAUUCUCAUGGACCUCUGAGAAUGAAAGGAUCUGUUUGUUAAUGGCUUUUCCAAAUAAAAGCCACCCAAGGGCAUUGAUGUCAUGCAUCAGCAGCAGCACUUGAAAUGUCCAGGCCAUCAGGAAUCACUGGCAUUUCCAUGGCAAGAGAAUGCCUGUACAUUUGCUUUUGCAUAAACAUUAGUGGGUCCUAACAUCUGAAGUCAUUGUUAGCUUUGCAAUGGGUCUUCUUUAGCAACUAAUUCACAAUGUGUUAGAGGCAUUGGGCUCUCCCUAAUUGCUUCUCUCUACAUAUGGAUCAAGUUCUUACUGAAGGGGCAUUACUUUUUAAAAGACCCCUAGGGUCUCCUCGGGUCUUUAAGUCCUUGAUAGAAUGGCUUUGGUCUUCAAUACAUUGUGUAAACUCCUUCAAGUAGGGUGCAUUUCUCAUUCAUUUCUUAGAAGUUAUAUCUCUCUAACAGUGUGACUUCUCUUUUGAAAUUAUGGAAAUUAAAAUCCAGGAAAUCUAGCCAUCCACCCACAAAGGAAUAGAUAAUUAAAGAGCACACUGAAUUCUUCCACUAAUUUGGAAUCUUAAUGUUCUACCAAGAUCCCAGGCAGAUUGCAACUCUACAAUCUCAAGGUCCCCCAAAACAGUGAUAUAGACUGUGGUGGCUAUUCUUGUUUGUCAACUUGACUACAACUGGAAUUAACCAAAAUUUUCAAAUGGGAGACACCUGGUUUUGAAGUGGGAAGAUCUACUUCUAAUCUUGAUCUUUGAGGUGGGAUGACUUACCUUUAAUCUAGAUCUUUUGUGGUGGGAAGACCCACCUUUAAUCUGGGUCAUAUCUUCUGCUGGAAGCUUGCGUAAAGACAUGGAGGAAGGAAGUUUUUGCUUUUUGCCUGCUUGCUUUUACAAGUGCAUUCACUAGCAUUAGAGCCUGCUUCUUCAGGAUUCUAGCACACAUUGAGGAACAACUGAAGCAUUCAGCCUCAUGGACUGAACAACUACUGGACUCUUAGACCUUUCAUUCAUAGGCAACAUUGUUGGACUAGCUUGAGCACAACCUAGAAGCUGUUCUAAUAAAUCUCCUUUCUAUAUAUAGGGAGUUUCAUUCUAAAAGUUGUUACUCUUUGAGAACCUUGACUAAUAAAAAGACCCAGGAGCAUUAAGGGAACUAGGAGGAGAGGUCGGAAUAGGGAACAGAGGGAAAGGAGAGAAGACAAGACAGAAAGUGGCAGAGAAAGAAAGAAGGGUUUAGGUUCAGUUCUGCUCUAUUAUUCCUCUGGCUUGGGAAGUUCCUGUUACUGUCUAUCAUUUCGUCAUUUGUCAAACACAGCCGGGUCAGUGAGGAGCACGUGGCUUACUGCCUGCAGUCUUGCAUCUGGUCUGAAGGGUUCUAAAGUGUGCAUUUUCUACUGUGGCCUAGAAAAAUGCUGUAAUAUGGGUUUUCUUUUUCAAAAACCUUUCCUCUUCAUCUUACUUCUUAAUUUGAGAAUUUCCAGAGUCUCACCCUACACUUUCUGCUCCUCGAUGCCCCUGUCUUCUUCCUGGGUGGUCUCGCCCUUUUCUAGCUCCUAUUUCAAAGUUCCUUUGUCUGAUAUUAAUGCAGCCUCUCAGAGUUGCUGUUUGCAUGGUUCAUCUUCUCCCUUCUUAUUGCUUUCAACCUAGGAGAAUCUUUAUAUCUAAAGUGUGUUUUCUUUAUGCAGCAUAUAGUUAGGUUUUGUUUCAGGUUUUAAUACAGUCUGAUAAUUCCUGCCUUUUGACUAGAUCGGGUAAUUAUUCGUAAUUAAGGUUCAAUUUACUUCUGCCUCUUUGCUUUUGACUUUUCAUUCUUCAAAUGUUGUUCAUAGAUUUUUAUCUUUCUUUUGCUGCCUUCCUUUAUGAGAACUAGAUAUUUUAUAGUAUAAUGUUUUCAUGUCUUUGAUUUAAAAGAUAUGUUUUUAUUAUUUCUUUGAGAAUGUCAUACAUAAAUACAAUAUAAUUUUAAGAUCAUAUUUACCCCCACUUCUACCUCUAACUCUUCCUGAAACUAUUCUUACUCUUCAUUUGCUAUCAAUUUUAAGUCUCUCUUUUUAAAAAAAUACUAGAGAGUCCAGUAUAUGCUGCCUAUAUACUCAUAGGCACACACGUGCAUGGUUAAUACACUAGGGGCCACACCCUUAAAGAAUGUGUAUUCCUCCUUCCCCAGAAGCCACCAACUGUCAACAACUGCUCAUUGAGGGUAAGAAAUUAUGGCACUCUUUCUCUCCACGCUGAAAUGUUGACUGACUUGAUCUUGUGCUGGUCUUGUGCAGACAGCCACAGCUGCUGAGAUUUUGUGAGUGCACUGGCCUUGUCAUAUCCAGAAGACACUGCUUCCCUCUAGUCCUCCUCCACCUCUUGCCAUUACAAGCCUUCUGCUCCCACUUCCAAAAUGAUCCCGAUCUUUGGAGGAGUGGGUGUGAUACGGUGUCCCACUUAUGACAAAACACUCCCCAGAUUCUUGUUCUCUAUACUUUUAUGAUUGGAGGUUUCUAUGUUAACUGAUAUCUACUGCUUAAGGAAAUUUCUAUGGGAUGUAAUAGCUGUACUAAUCUAGGGAUAUAGAGAUGUCAGUUCACCACAGAGCCCAUUUAGAAAAAUAAUAGUAAUAAGAUCACCCACGAAGCUUGUGAGCUCCUCAACCAUGAGUUCUGGCCAGAUAUAUAAUAUCAGGCAUGUAGUUCCUCCUGUGGGGCAGUUCUUAAAUCCAAUCAGAAGGCAGUUGGUUGAUGCCAUAAUAUUUGUGCCACUACUGUGCCCAUGAACAUAGCUUGUUGCACUGCUGUUACUAGAGUAGUUCACAGCUGAGUAAGACUAUUGUUCCAGCAGCCCACAGUGCAUAGCCCCUUCCAGGACUAUGAGAUCCCAGCAGCAGGGAGAAAGCUUCAUGGUCAGUACGAACUUCAUUCCUCCAUGUCCUCCUCCAUAACAGUGUGGUUUCUUCAUCAAUAGCGUCUUAAUAUCAAGUUCUGAUAGGAAACCAAGAGCAAUGCCAAUGGCCUAGAAUGUUUGGGGACAUCACCUGGUACUUGACUUUUAAAAUACUUUUAUUAAUUCCUUGUGAAUUUCAUACAAUGUAUUUUGUAUGAAAAGAUUUAAACCUAGUAUAUAAACACUCUCUCCAUAUUUUGUAAUCUUAAUCCUUUAUAUAUUGCCAUUUACAUGUUACAAACCUCACAUGAAUUCUAGUAAUUACUUUACAUAGUGUACAUAUCGUAUAGAAUCUAGAUUCACAUAAAUUCGUAUUUGCAAAGUAUUACAUUAAUCUUCCCUUUCACCAAGUCUGAUUUGCUCCAUUUCUUUCUGAAGAUUUCAGUUGCUGUCUGGUCUCUUUACUUAACCUGAGUGCUGGGUAUCAUUUUGGUUCAUGUCCUUUAUGCUCCUGUUUUCAAAUGUAUGACAUUUCAGCAUCCUAUAAACCCAAUAGUGGGUGUAUAUAUACAUUGUUUUAUUAUGCAGUUCUUACCAGGAGUACACACUCAAUACUGUUGUCUUUACUAUGUUUUAACUUAGGUGAAAUUCAUACAAUGCUAAACUUAUUAAAGUGGAAAAUUUCAUGGCUUUUAUCUCACUCAUCACAUUGUAUAACCCUCACAUUCUGUAGUUUCUUUGGUUUGAAUUUUUUAUGGCCUCAGAGAAAUUCCACACACCCUCUUCCUCGUCCCUUUGCAAACACAGUCUUUUAAUCUCAAUGGUAUUUCUAUCUUAGAUGAUUUACUUAAAAAUUCAUGCAUUAUGUAACUUAUGUCUGUUUUUCACUAGAGUGUUUUCAAUGUUCAUCCAUAAGUACUCCAUCCCUCUUUAUGGUUAUAUAAUAUUUCACUUUGUGAACAUAACAAAAUAUGCUUAUCUGUUCACCUGUUGAUGGACACAAGCAUUGGUCUUUUUGCCUCCGAGCUAUGAUUAGUAACCGCUGUUACAAACAUUCUUGUAUAAAUUUCUAUGCAAGUAAAGGUUUUCAUUUCCACUGGAUAUAUAACUAGGGGUGAAAAUGCUGGGUUCUAUAUUCAUACAAUGUACAUGAACCAUAUCCAUCCCCCACCAUCUCCCUUCAACUCCCCCAUGUCCUUUCCAUCCCAUUUCUUUUCCAACUUCAUGUACUUUUUAAAACAUUUCUCUUUAAUUAAUAAACCCCUAAAUCUAGUCAAUGCCCGUAUGAAUGUGUAUCUAUUCACUGGGGCACAAACAACCAGCCAGGAGCCAUAUAUACAAAGAAGAGUGACUCUCCUUCCUACAGUAACUAUAGACUGCCAAUAGCUCUUCUGUUAUGGGUGGGGCCUCAGGAUCUCCUCCCCCAACCAUGCUGGAACUUGAACUGGCUUGAUUAUAUUCACAUCUUAUGCAGGCAGUGAAAGUUACUUUGACUUGAUUCAUGCAUGGUCCAUGAAUUUCAUAGCUCUCUCUAUUUUCCUCCUCCUCUUCCUCCUCCUCCUCCUUCUACGAAGAUCCUAGGGCUUUGGAUGAUUUAUGAUUGAUAUAGAUGUCGUAAGUAUUGGUAACUGAGUGCUCAGAGUUAUUUAUAAUUGGCAAUUUGACUAGUUAUGAGUCUCUGUAUUAACCAAUAUUCACUGCAAACACAAGUUUCUAUGAUCAAAAUUGAGAGCAGCUCAAGUCUUCAUAUAUUAACACAGAUAUUUCGAAGGCCGUUUCACAGCAUAAUCAUUUAACAAAACAAUAGUAUGUUCCCUCCAGGGUCUAUGAUCUUCCCGUUCAUGGGCUUUGAGCAUGUUUAUAGUACAGGGUAUGAAAUCCCUCCUACAGAACAUGCAUCAUAACCAAGAAAAAGCAGAUAGUUAACCCUUUACCCAUCAGCCACUCUUACACCAGCAGACACAUUUUGCCAGCAGGUUGAUACUGUAUGUAAUAUGAAUGGUCCAGAGCUGUGUAAGACGCUGUUGACUUUUCUCCCCUAGUAGCCUGCCCUGCACUCUGUGGAAUGAUAUACACUAGUAAGUAGGAUGCAUAUUUUCUGGCUAACUUGAAAUAGAUUUCUUUGUGUCCUAUAUCCAAGAUGAGUGGCAUCUUUAGCAAUAGGCUCUUACCAUCUAGUGUCAACUGCAGUCAGGAACAAUGCCAAGAUCCUGUAUUGUCUGGGGUGCUUCUGACUCAUAGGGAGGUAUCCUGUGCCUGCCACUAAGGUUUGCAUUAAUAAUCCAUGUACUCUGGGAGCAGCAUUGUUCACCAUGCUGAGUACUUUUGUUCAAACUCUUCCUCAACAGCUCCUGCUUCUUUUUUCAAAAUUAACACACACAGAUUAUUCUCUACGUACCAGUGACAAGCACACUGGAAAACAUAUCAGGGAAACAAUCUCAUUUAUAGUAGCCACACCAUCCAUAAAGCAAACAAAAAUAACUCAGGGGACUAAAUGUAACCCAGGAAAUGAAAUGAAAACAUUAGGGCGCUAAAGAAAGAAACUGAAGAAGACACUAGAAGGUGGCUCAUUGAUUAGAAGAAUAAGUAUUGUGGAAGUGGCCAUCCUACUAAAAACAAUCUGAAGAUUCAUCAUAAUCCCAGUCAAGAUUCUGGGGCCAUUUUUCACAAACAUAGAAAAGCAAUCUUGAAGUUUAUGUGACAGCACAAAAAACGAAGGAAAGCCAAAGCAAUCUCAAACAUAAAGAACACUGUGGGAAGAAAAAUACAAUAUUAAA
rnacentral:sRNA from 1 species